rnacentral:rRNA from 1 species
GACGAACGCUGGCGGCGUGCCUAAUACAUGCAAGUCGAGCGAAUCUUUUGGGAGCUUGCUCCCAAAAGAUUAGCGGCGGACGGGUGAGUAACACGUGGGCAACCUGCCUAUAAGACUGGGAUAACUUCGGGAAACCGGAGCUAAUACCGGAUACGUUCUUUUCUCGCAUGAGAGAAGAUGGAAAGACGGCUUCUAGCUGUCACUUAUAGAUGGGCCCGCGGCGCAUUAGCUAGUUGGUGGGGUAAUGGCUCACCAAGGCGACGAUGCGUAGCCGACCUGAGAGGGUGAUCGGCCACACUGGGACUGAGACACGGCCCAGACUCCUACGGGAGGCAGCAGUAGGGAAUCUUCCGCAAUGGACGAAAGUCUGACGGAGCAACGCCGCGUGAACGAAGAAGGCCUUCGGGUCGUAAAGUUCUGUUGUUAGGGAAGAACAAGUACCAGAGUAACUGCUGGUACCUUGACGGUACCUAACCAGAAAGCCACGGCUAACUACGUGCCAGCCGCCGCAGUAAUAC